rnacentral:guide_RNA from 1 species
AUCAUAAUACAAGGCAAUGACGACGAGAAGAUUUAGAUUAAU